CCCUUAGAUGUCCGGGGCCGCACGCGCGCUACACUGAAGGAAUCAGCGUGGCCUUCUCCCUGACCCGAAAGGGUUGGGAAACCCGUUGAAUCUCCUUCGUGAUAGGGAUUGGGGCUUGAAAUUGUUCCCCAUGAACGAGGAAUUCCCAGUAAGCGCGAGUCAUAAGCUCGCGUUGAUUACGUCCCUGCCCUUUGUACACACCGUCCGUCGCACCUACCGAUUGAAUGGUUCGGUGAAGAUCUCGGACUUCGAUAUUCAUUCUUUAUUGAGUUUAUAUUGUGGGAAGUUAUCUAAACCUCAUCAUUUAGAGGAAGGUGAAGUCGUAACA
rnacentral:rRNA from 1 species